GAGACUCAACAUGGCAACCUGUAAAUGGCAGAGGCAGGGCCAGCAAGCGGCCAAGGUGAUGCACAUAGCGUCAAAGGGGUGAAGCUGCAUGCUGACCAGUGGUCUGAGAAGGUGCUGUGCAGGCAGCCUUUGGAAUUGGAUGAGCGUUUGAG